UACGUAGGGUGCGAGCGUUAAUCGGAAUUACUGGGCGUAAGGCGUGCGCAGGCGGUUCGACAAGUCUGAUGUGAAAUCCCCGGGCUCAACCUGGGAACUGCGUUGGAAACUGUCGGGCUAGAGUGUAGAAGAGGGGGGUAGAAUUCCACGUGUAGCAGUGAAAUGCGUAGAGAUGUGGAGGAAUACCGAUGGCGAAGGCAGCCCCUCGGGCGUAACACUGACGCUCAUGCACGAAAGCGUGGGGAGGCAAAC
rnacentral:rRNA from 1 species